UUUUGCUUUAUUCUUUCGUAUUAAAAGCUUAAGAUGUCAUGUCUAAAAAAUCAAGAAAUAUAAAAAACUUAUUUAAUUACAAAGAUCUACACUAAUCCCAACUAAUUUAGUGUAAUAACAUAGAAGAUAUCAAAACUUCAAAAAAUUGGAGUAAUUACUUGAAUGAAUUCAGGCCUCCUUGAGCUUCACGGAAAUGAUGGAGAUCUUCAACGUGUAUGAAGAGAAACAAAAGAGAAAGUGUUGCUUGGGAUAGCCUAGUGGUUGGGGUGGUUGCCUCUUGUCCAAGAGGUCACAGGUUCGAGUACUCUCGCCCACAAUAAUCACUAGGUGGGUGUGUGUGAUUUGUAUUAUUUAUAAUGUAAUUUCAUCAAAAAAAAAAAGAGAAGAGAAAGUGUUGCGAAAGGGAGAUAAAUAGUGUGAAAGGAAAAAAAUAG
rnacentral:lncRNA from 1 species